UUUAGACCCACGGCGAACGGGUGAGUAAUACAUAGGUACUUUCUUUAAGUUGAGAAUAUCCUACCGAAAGGUGGUGCAAUACUCAAUGUGGCCGCAAGGCUAAAGCCGCAAGGCGCUUAAAGUGAGGCCUGUGCACCAUCAGCUAGUUGGUAAGGUAAUGGCUUACCAAGGCUACGACGGUUAGCGGGCCCGAGAGGGUGAUCCGCCACACUGGGACUGCGACACGGCCCAG
rnacentral:rRNA from 1 species